CAAGAAGUUACCAACUUCUCCCACACAUUAAACCUGAAGAGGUUGCACUGAAAAUCAGCAUCUUUGCUUAUAAAAUGUGUAUAAUGUUUUCUUCCACACAGGUGGAGGUGCUGAGGAGGGUCAGCAAUAACUUAGCAAUAGUGCUGACAAAAGGCUUUUCUGCUGUAGAUCCCUUGAAGCCAGUGGAGUUACCCUAACAAGAAGUCUCACCCAGGACACUUCCUGCACAAGCCCAGGGAGCACUUCUAGGAGCAUGCUCGGCGAUGUUAAGCAGAAAUUUAGAGACCAAAACACUGCUCACAGCUACUCAAAGGAGUGAGCUGCAGGGAUCUCCUUGGGGAGGGAGGGAAGACCAGGCUUCAUUGCUGCAGGAUUGAACGAGAGGGAGCCUUGCUGUCCCACAGAUUUCCCAUGGCUGCUAUCUGAAAACUAAUACAAAUGCAUCCCCAUGAAAUAGCACUUGCAUUGUGAAAAGAAAAAAAGCUUUUCUAAGGCCUAGGGGAAAUGUGUGCGCACAGGGAGUUCAGAGAUAACCAUUUUCUGAACAAAUCUUUGAUGUUAGCCUUUCAGCAGACAAUUUCAAUGGAAGACAUGAGAGCUAUCCAUCUGCUAAAGGGAGUAUUUACCUCUUCCAUUCUGCAGCUCUGUUCGGUGUUGCUAUGGUCACAUGUUGUUAUAAUUGUCUUUUAUUAAAGACAAUCUCUUUUUUAAAGACUUUUCUACUAAAUACAUCCUGCCACCUUUCUGGUUUAUGAGGUCUGUUUACCUAUUUGGGCUGUCUGAUGAUGGCAUUUUUAAGGCCCCAAGGUAUCUGGUUUCCAAGCACUGAUAGAAUUAACAGAGAAGUUCCCAGCAUUAUCAUGAUUUCCCAAAGUCAAAGGCAAGUUGAAAGUAGUUGGGUAUGUUGGGGUUUUUUUUGGUCUAGCCUGUUUUUCAAAGGCCUCAAAUUGGCCUACUGUGGUGCUUAUACAGAUUCUACAAUUUCCCUUGAGUCAUUAGUACCCAAGGGAAAAAGUCCUGAUUUCAAAAGCAAAUUGCUUUUUAUACCAGGCUGGUUGUGAGCAGUGAAGCUAGGAGCUGCUGGGAUAAGUCGCAUCUCCCUGUCCCUUGCACCUGGCCAUCCUUCCAAAACCAAGACAUUGUCAAAUAAAGGGAACGUACACCCAAAUCCCAUGACAGCCUGUAGGUGACCCACAGGCCUGGUGUUCCCGUGUCCCACAGUAUCCAUAGAAGCCUGAUAAUUUUGUCCUGUUGUUGGUAGAGACAGAGAAUAUCGUAUGACAUCCUAAUGCCCUCUUCCCAAGCAUUCCUGGUUUGCUGACAUGGGCCAGUUUUGUACGGAUGCCCUUUACCCA
ensembl:lncRNA